rnacentral:rRNA from 1 species
CGAAGGUAGCAUAGUCAGUAGUCUUUUAAUUGGAGGCUUGUAUGAAUGGUUGGACGAGGGACAAGCUGUCUCUUUUACGGAGUUUGAAUUUAACUUUUGAGUGAAAAGGCUCAAAUUAUUUAGUGGGACGAUAAGACCCUAUAAAACUUUAUACAGGUUGGGUUAAAUUUGUGAUUUGUGUGAAAAGUAGUUUUAUUUGACCUGUAUUUUGUUGGGGCGACAUAGAUAUAAUAUGUAACUGUCUAUUAGAUUUAAUAGUGUUAAUUAGUUUUUGAUCCUUCUUUGUGGAUUAGAAGAAUAAGUUACUUUAGGGAUAACAGCGUGAUUUUCCUUGAGAGUUCCUAUCGACAGGAGUAGUUGCGACCUCGAUGUU